UCCCAUCAAAACUUCUAGUGCAACCACUCCAAAGCUAUAAACAUCACAUUUAUCAUUGACCCGCAUUGUGAGCGCCAGCUCUGGUGCCAUAUAGCCAUAGGAACCAGCAACUGCAGUCCAGUUGGAUGAAUCUUUAUUCAACAGUCUUGCUGUGCCAAAAUCUGAAAGCCGUGGCUCAAAAUCUGACUCGAGCAAAAUAUUAUUCAAAGAUAUGUCCCGAUGAACAAUUGGUGGAGAGCAAUCAUGGUGCAAGUAGGCAAUUGCAUGAGCCACUCCUUGCACAAUCUUCACCCUUGUAGCCCA
rnacentral:misc_RNA from 1 species